rnacentral:rRNA from 1 species
GCUUCUGAAGAAUCAUUUGAAGUACUUAGUGGCGGACGGGUGAGUAACGCGUGGGUAACCUGCCUCACACAGGGGGAUAACAGUUGGAAACGACUGUUAAUACCGCAUAAGCGCACAGUAUCGCAUGAUACAGUGUGAAAAACUCCGGUGGUGUGAGAUGGACCCGCGUCUGAUUAGCUAGUUGGUGAGGUAACGGCCCACCAAGGCGACGAUCAGUAGCCGGCCUGAGAGGGUGUACGGCCACAUUGGGACUGAGACACGGCCCAAACUCCUACGGGAGGCAGCAGUGGGGAAUAUUGCACAAUGGGGGAAACCCUGAUGCAGCGACGCCGCGUGAGUGAUGAAGUAUCUCGGUAUGUAAAGCUCUAUCAGCAGGGAAGAUAAUGACGGUACCUGACUAAGAAGCACCGGCUAAAUACGUGCCAGCAGCCGCGGUAAUACGUAUGGUGCAAGCGUUAUCCGGAUUUACUGGGUGUAAAGGGUGCGUAGGUGGUUGCACAAGUCAGAAGUGAAAACUAUGGGCUCAACCCAUAGACUGCUUUUGAAACUGCGUAACUAGAGUGCAGGAGAGGAAAGUGGAAUUCCUAGUGUAGCGGUGAAAUGCGUAGAUAUUAGGAGGAACACCAGUGGCGAAGGCGGCUUUCUGGACUGCAACUGACACUGAGGCACGA